rnacentral:rRNA from 1 species
AACGCACGCUAGUGGGCAGCAGCACAUGAGAAAUCAAAGUCUUUGGGUUCCGGGGGGAGUAUGGUCGCAAGGCUGAAACUUAAAGGAAUUGACGGAAGGGCACCACCAGGAGUGGAGCCUGCGGCUUAAUUUGACUCAACACGGGAAAACUUACCAGGUCCAGACAUAGGAAGGAUUGACAGAUUGAGAGCUCUUUCUUGAUUC